UUGUGACAAUAGUGUAGGUUGGUGUUUUAUUUUAUUUCCAUUUUAUUAUUAUUAUUAUUAUUUUUAUAUAUAUAUUUCAUUUUAGUUUUGCUUUAAAAAAAAAAAAAAAAAAAAAACCUAAACUAAACUGGGAGAGCAAUCCCAUUCUUUGCAGAGAGCAACAAAAAAAAUUAGCCUAAGUGGAUUGAUCCCCCGUCCACGUGGAUCGAUUCCAUUUUACUUGUAUUUCCCCUUCUCAUUACAUAGUAAAAGGACAAUUUUUUGUAAAAAAAUAUCGAUCCCCCAGUAAAGGAGAUCGAGCGCCAAUCCAUUCUCGCCCUACCUUCCAUUCCCAAACACAGUUUUCUUCUCCUUCCUUACGAAACCCUUAACCCACCUCCAAUCCCAAUUUGUUGGUUCACUCCUCGCUGAUCUCUUCUCCUCUUCCACAGUGUCGCGGCUGUGAUUUCUGGCUCCAUGGUUCUGAGUUCUUUUCUGCCGACAGGUUGAGGUUCGCCCUUUGCAUCGCCUCUUUGGGUUUCGGUUGGGUGCGAUUGGGGAAGUUGGGUUGCCGGUUUCUAGGUUGCCGAGUUUGAGGUUCGCCAAGUUUUAUUGCGAGUUUGUGAAUCGUCGUUCUCUCCGGCGAUCGCUGCUGCAUCGCCGGUUCCUUCCGGCGAGUUUCUGCAUCGCCGGUUCCUUCCGGCGUGUUUGUGAAUCGCCAUGUUCUCCAGCGAUUCUGGCUGGUUGGUCUCUGUCGCGUUGCUGGGUUGCGGGUCUCGCCGGUGAUUUCAGCUGGGUUCUCUGUUGCGCUUUUGGGUCGCUUUUCUCCGGCGAUUUUGACUUGUUCUUUCAGUGAGCUUGUGCAGCGAUUUUGGCUAGAUUCCUCUCUGAUACCGGUUGGUUUCUUCAGCGAUUUUUUUUUUUUAUUGGUUUCUUCUCCAGCGAGCUUGUGGGUUGCCGUUAUCCUUGCGGUUAAUUGUUUCGGGUAAGUGCACCCGAAUCCUUUGCGGUUAAUUGCUUUGGUUAAUUGACAUUUAUCAUUUAUCAUCCAUCAUAGUGCUCCAAAGAUGAGAGAAUUUGAUGAGAGAAUUCAAUACUCUUUAUCAUUUUUUUUGGACUAUCUGGGUGCUAUUGUUGUGAUAAUAAUUUUCAUGUUUGGAUCAUGUCAAAUCCAAUUUGCAUCCCGAAACUCUUUCCCCUUCUUUGUUGUGUACUAAAUCUAGAAUUCUGCCUUUGUUUUAGGGCACUGAAAUUGUGAUAUUGUUUCGCAAUAUAGAUUGUUAGUCUUAAAAAAAAAAAAAAGUUGAAUAGAUGAUUAAAAACAAAAAAAAAUUCCAUUGAUGAUUUAAACAAAAAAAGAGUUAAAUUGAUGAUUACAAAAUAAAAAAAGUAAAAAAAUAAAAAAUAAAAUAAAAUAAAAAUUCCCAGUGGACGAAUUGGUUGUUGAGUUGUGGUUGUCGUUGAACUUAGAUUGUGUAUGGGAAAGUGCUUGAGUUGGUUAAUUUUUUUUUUCUUUUUUUUGCACUUGAAUUGGUUAUUAAAAAAAAAAAAAAGUUGCAUUGAUGUUUUAAAAAAAAAAAAAAUUGAAUUGAUGAAAAAAAAAAUAAAAAAAUUCACAGUGGCCCAAUUUGGUGAUUGGAAAAUUAGAGUUGGAUGCUUCAUUUGACAUUGAAUGUCUUGUUGGUUGAUUUGCAGAUUUUGGUUUGUCAUUGGAGUAGGGUUAUUGAAUUUGGACUACUUCCCAUAUAUUUCAAUCUUUAAGAAAUGACUCGUGUUCCUUCUUCCAAACGUUUCAAACCCUCUAAAGAGACUCCCAAAGCUGUGUGGCGCAACAAACGUCUGGAUUUUGAGACUACCUUCGACAUUGAAGGUACGUUUCGCCACAAUGACACGACUGAAUGGGCGGUGUUAGAAUUUAAAAGGAGGCGUUUGUCCUGUCUUUUUAGACCAACUGCAGAGGUUGCAUAUCCCCGUAUUGUGCGCCUGUUUUAUCAGAAUAUGGAAUGGAUUAGUGAUGCGCCGGACAUAUUAGCUACAACCAUUGAUGGUGUUCGAAUUCACUUUGGUGUCUUAGACAUAGCCCAGGCAUUGGGGUGUCCACAUUUGUGCCCCACUGACUUGCUAAUAGAGAAUGGGGAGCUACGUUUUGGCAAAUUCUCAAAAAAACCUACUGUGCAUUCUAUUGUUAAGGAUAUGUGUGACGGGAAGUAUGGUGACAAGAAGAUGACGAAUUGUGCCAGCAAGUCCUCACUACCUAAGGAUAUGUGGUUUUUCAAUUAGGUUCUGAAGCAGAAUGUUUUUCCAAUAGGUCAUAAGGUACAGCGAGUGCAAGAAUUCUUAAUAGCAUUGUAUGCUACCCACACUGGAGCAUGGUUUUCUGUUCCAGCUUUCAUCUUGAACCAAAUGCAUAAAUAUUGGAAGCAUUUAGUGGCGAGUGGGGAUCCAAAUGCGAAAAAAUGAAACCUUCCAUUUCUAUAUAUUAUUACCCAGCUCCUUGUCCUUUGGUGCUUCGUGGUUGAUAAUGAUGAGAUCUCUGAGGCUCAGCGGUGACUUUUGGGCUAGCACAGUGGAACUUAAGCCUUUCUCAUAUGCCUAGGGCCAAGAAGGAAGGUGAUGGCAUGGCAGCAGGUGAUAGAGAGGAUGUGAAUGCCUUAGUUGAGGACGUCGUUGGGAAGUCUGAGGAGCAAAUUGCUGAUGGUGCUAGUUAUGAGAUAGCACAGGCUGUGUCACCACAUGCAGAGGAGUCUGCAGGGGUGACUAGGACAGAGUUCAAUGCCAUUGUGGGGCAGUUGAGGACCGAGUUGGCUGAAUCUGAGGAGCAGCGUCGAGUCAAGCAUGCUGAGCUUAUACAGCAGCACACCACUACCCAGCGCAUGCUACGAGAUUUAUAUGAGAUUGUUUCAUCGAGUCUCCCACGCACUUCCACAUUGCCGCCUGAUGCAUGAUUUCUCUUGUCUAUGUUAGGCUGUUUAGAUUUUUUUAUUUUGAGUGGAUGGGAUUUUAUGUGGCUAUAGCUAGAUUUUUUGUGAUUUAGAGCUGGCUAUUUUGGAAACCUGUAAUUCUGAGUUUUGAUGAUAUAUUUUGGUUUCAUUCAUCCAUAUAUGAUUGCUUUUGGCUUUUAUUGCUCAUAUUCAUAUAAAAAAACAAAAACAAAAAAACAAUACUAAAUAAAAAAAAUAAUGAAAAUAAAUAAAAAAUAAUUAAAAAAUAAAAAUUGCAAAGUAUCAUUCCGUCUUGCUAGAGACGUUAAACUUAGCCAAUUAUUUAUUUAUUUGUAGGUUGUGUAUAUAUGUUCUUUUUCUUUGUUUCUUUUACAAUUAUAAAAAAAAAAAAAAAUAACCAAAAAAAAAAAAAAAAAAAAAAAACUAAACUAAAAAAAUUAAAAAUAAAUUAAAAAAAUUCAAAAAUGUGUUAUCGGUAUGCCCUUAUGACUAGUUAUGAAUGUUUUCAGAUUUUAUCAAGGGUUUCAUCUCAUAUCUCUUUGCAUUGUGUUAUAUAUUAUUUUGAACUGUAUGAAUUGCUUAUCCCAUGUGACAUUUGAUGUGAGUUUGCUAGUAUGGUUAUACAGCUAGAUUUUUGCAUCUAAGCUUGGGGGAGACAUCUUUCCUACUGGAUCAAUGCCGGAUUUCAUAAUCUUUGCCAUCACGGUACCGAGAUCAAGAUUCGGGAUUCACGUCAUGCUUGGAUGAUUUGUAAACUUGAAGUUCUCAUUUAUUGUAAAUGUUGGCUUGAAAUGCCAUUUAUAGCUUUAUAUGUCAAAAUGUGUUAAAAUGUGUAAAUUUGAUUCUAUUUUUGUAAUGUGUACAUAAGUGCACUCUUUACAAUGUAUUUGACAUGUAUGAGAUGAGGCCAUGGGCCAAUGACAUCUAAUUUGUAUCCUAUGUAACUUUUAACUUCAUGAAAUAUUAUGAAUAUAUUAAAAAAUGCCGAGUCAUUGUUUCACUA